AGCAUUUAUUGUACCAUGUAUAAACAUAUAUGUUUCCUUCUAACAAUAUUUAUAACGCGAUAACUCAGUUAUUACCUAGUAACUCAAUUGUUAAGUUGCUACAUUGAAGCCAUUUUAACUUCUUCAGGCUUGAUGCACUUGCAGCCGUCCGGUACAGUUCAAGAAGCACAACCGUAACGCCAUAUUCCUCCUGGUUUUGUAGUAUAGUGAAUUACAUGUGCGUUUAGCAUACAAAAAUGCCAAAACAAUAAGAUAGUACAACUGAAUAAUCAUAUGAAAUGCUUACUUUAUUAACAUUGAAGUUAUCUAGCAAACAUAUUUGUUAUCCGUAAGUUUAGCUUAUCAUUUACAGGUGUUCAAAAUCCAUCAUUACCAACAGAAUCCCAAAAAUAAAAGAACGAGUUGAGGAAAGCAAACAUUUCGGAAAAAAAGAAAGAUAAAAGAGUAAAUAAACAAAACCUAGAAAAGAGAAAAGAGUAGAGAGAAGAGGAAGCACCAUGAAAUUUUCUAGAUAAGGAAAAUCUGAGCACUUGAUUGGAAGAAAAAAGACGAUUCCUCUUAUAUGAUUCUCGUUUCACCUUGUUUCACCGACAAUUAUAGAUGUGGAUUUGAAAUGUUUGUGUAAAUCAUAAAUAGCUUGGUAAGAGGAUACAUGACUCAAACCAGAAUACUCAUCACAAGCAACUCAUGUGGUGCGGGCUUUCUUGUUGGGGCAUUGGGUGGUGCCUAUAGGGGCUAACAGUAGCCAUCACUUGGAAGGGUAUCGGCAAACCCUGUAGAUAUCUGUGUGAUAAAAAAUGGAGACAGGUAGACUUACGAGCUUUAAUUGUAGACGGGUCGGGUGUCACGGGUGGCAGACCGAUUCUUCUGUCCUUCGGGAAGAUAUGGAUUCGGGUGUCAUUCUCUGUUUGUUAAUGUUAAAUGGUGGAUGAGGAUUGAGAAUCGUAGCUGUUAUAAAUCAGAUUGAUGAUUGAUUUGGAAAUAGAGUUGAUUGCAAAAGAUGAAUUAAAAG
rnacentral:lncRNA from 1 species